CCUACGGGAGGCAGCAGUGAGGAAUAUUGGUCAAUGGACGAGAGUCUGAACCAGCCAAGUAGCGUGAAGGAUGACUGCCCUAUGGGUUGUAAACUUCUUUUAUAUGGGAAUAAAACGCUCCAUGUGUGGGAUUUUGUAUGUACCAUAUGAAUAAGGAUCGGCUAACUCCGUGCCAGCAGCCGCGGUAAUACGGAGGAUCCGAGCGUUAUCCGGAUUUAUUGGGGUUAAAGGGAGCGUAGGUGGGUUAUUAAGUCAGUUGUGAAAGUUUGCGGCUCAACCGUAAAAUUGCAGUUGAAACUGGCAGUCUAGAGUACAGUAGAGGUGGGCGGAAUUCGUGGUGUAGCGGUGAAAUGCUUAGAUAUCACGAAGAACUCCGAUUGCGAAGGCAGUUCACUGGACUGCAACUGACACUGAGGCUCGAAAGUGUGGGUAUCAAACAGGAUUAGAUACCCUGGUAGUC
rnacentral:rRNA from 1 species